AGUGAACGCUGGCGGUAGGCCUAACACAUGCGAGUCGAACGGCAGCACAGUAAGAGCUUGCUCUUACGGGUGGCGAGUGGCGGACGGGUGAGGAAUACAUCGGAAUCUACUUUUUCGUGGGGGAUAACGUAGGGAAACUUACGCUAAUACCGCAUACGACCUACGGGUGAAAGCAGGGGAUCUUCGGACCUUGCGCGAUUGAAUGAGCCGAUGUCGGAUUAGCUAGUUGGCGGGGUAAAGGCCCACCAAGGCGACGAUCCGGAGCUGGUCUGAGAGGAUGAGCGGCCACACGGGAACUGAGACACGGUCAAGACUCCUACGGGAGGCAGCAGGAGGGAAUUUGCAGCAAUGGGCGAAAGCCUGACGGAGCAACGCCGCGUGAGUGAUGAAGGUCUUCGGAUCGUAAAACUCUGUUAUUAGGGAAGAACAUAUGUGUAAGUAACUGUGCACAUCGUGACGGUACCUAAGCAGAAAGACACGGCUAACUACGUG
rnacentral:rRNA from 1 species